rnacentral:rRNA from 1 species
CCUACGGGUGGCAGCAGUCGAGAAUCAUUCACAAUGGGGGAAACCCUGAUGGUGCGACGCCGCGUGGGGGAAUGAAGGUCUUCGGAUUGUAAACCCCUGUCAUGUGGGAGCAAAUUAAAACGAUCGUACCACACGAGGAAGAGACGGCUAACUCUGUGCCAGCAGCCGCGGUAAUACAGAGGUCUCAAGCGUUGUUCGGAAUCACUGGGCGUAAAGCGUGCGUAGGCUGUUUCGUAAGUCGUGUGUGAAAGGCGCGGGCUCAACCCGCGGACGGCACAUGAUAUUGCGAGACUAGAGUAAUGGAGGGGGAACCGGAAUUCUCGGUGUAGCAGUGAAAUGCGUAGAUAUCGAGAGGAACACUCGUGGCGAAGGCGGGUUCCUGGACAUUAACUGACGCUGAGGCACGAAGGCCAGGGGAGCGAAAGGGAUUAGAUACCCCAGUAGUC